ACAACUUUUGACAACGGAUCUCUUGGNCUCUCGCAACGAUGAAGAACGCAGCGAAAUGCGAUACGUAGUGUGAAUUGCAGAAUUCCGUGAAUCAUCGAAUCUUUGAACGCACAUUGCGCCCCGUGGUAAUCCGUGGGGCAUGCCUGUUCGAGCGUCACUA
rnacentral:rRNA from 1 species